UGGGGAAUUGUUCACAAUGGGCGCAAGCCUGAUGACGCAACGCCGCGUGGGGGAUGAAGGUCUUCGGAUCGUAAACCCCUGUCGAAUGGGACGAAAGACUCGCGAGUGAAUACUUUGCGAGAGUGACGGUACCGUUAAAGGAAGCCACGGCUAACUCUGUGCCAGCAGCCGCGGUAAUACAGAGGUGGCAAGCGUUGUUCGGAAUUACUGGGCGUAAAGGGCGCGUAGGCGGCCCUCUAAGUCAGACGUGAAAUCCCCCGGCUUAACCUGGGAACUGCGUCUGAUACUGGAGGGCUUGAGUAUGGGAGAGGGAUGCGGAAUUCCAGGUGUAGCGGUGAAAUGCGUAGAUAUCGGGAGGAACAUCAGUGGCGAAGGCGGCCCUCUGGUCCAGUACUGACACUCAAGUGCGAAAGCGUGGGGAGCAAACAGGAUUAGAUACCCCAGUAGUCCCUGAGCGGGCUGGCAAGGCGCAU
rnacentral:rRNA from 1 species